CAAUCACGCUGAAAACACCGGUUCUCGUUCGAUCACCGAAGUUAAGCAUCGUAGAGCCAGGUCAGUACUUAGAUGGGGGACCGCUUGGGAACACCUGGUACUGUAAG